rfam:Archaeoglobus veneficus SNP6, complete genome.
GGGCCCGUGGCUUAGCAUGGAUAAAGCACCGGCCUUCUAAGCCGGGGAUCGCGGGUUCAAAUCCCGCCGGGUCCG